UACGUAGGGGGCAAGCGUUGUUCGGAAUUACUGGGCGUAAAGGGCGCGUAGGCGGCACAGCAAGUCGGGAGUGAAAGCCCGGGGCUCAACCCCGGAAUGGCUUUCGAAACUGCUGAGCUAGAGUACAGAAGGGGCAACCGGAAUUCCCAGUGUAGCGGUGAAAUGCGUAGAUAUUGGGAAGAACACCUGAGGCGAAGGCGGGUUGCUGGGCUGAUACUGACGCUGAGGCACGAAAGCGUGGGGAGCAAACAGG
rnacentral:rRNA from 1 species